GUAAUUUUAUAAUUGCUUUUAGUUUUUUAUUAACAUGUGGGCUUUCUGCUCAGACUCCCUGCUUUUCAGAACUGGUAUCCACUUCCAGCCAAAGAUUAGCCUUUGCCCCAUGCUUCUCUACCACUGGAGUUACUUCAAACACCACCACCUAAAUAAAGCUCAGUUCCCACUGCACCAACAAGCCACAGCCGAGAGUUCUGUGCAACAAAUGCGUUUCUGAAGUUCCGGAAGCCUGGACAUAGCAGUAAUUCCAGGACAAGACAGUUGGACAGCCCGCGGGGGUGGGGGUCAGGAGGAAUGGCUCCCCAGACUCCUGAACAGAGGAUGGUGACCCAAUCAGGGAACACGUCUCAACCCAACAUUGAAAGGACAAAGUUGCGUCUGCAGGCUUCCUCUUAAUUCUAUGGAUCAUGCAAUAGUCUUUCAAGAAAUUAUCUUCUGCUUAGCUAGUCACUUCCUGUUGCUAGAACCAUGAAGAGGCCUGGUGAAAGAUGUUCAGUAUACUACCUGCAUCAGCUGCUACUGCUAUGUGACAAGCAAAUUUUCCAGAAACACUGACAUGGAAACAGGAUCUUUCUUCUCCUACUGUUUGUUCCUCGACUACAGUUAUAAUCCUCUAUUUGUGACAUCAUAAUUAGUUGCCACUGGAGAAGACGAUCGUGUCACAAAAGGAUUAGGACCUAAGUCUUGGAGUCCAGCCACUAUGCUGUGGGGAAGCAAAGAAAGCUGUGGAGAGGCCACGUGGGGAGGAAUGCCAUCCUUAGCAUGGGCUGAGCUCCCAGGCAGCACCCAUCUCCAGACAUGCGAGUGAACAGGACUUCCGGCAAUUCCAGCCCCAGCCACUGAGUCACUUCCAGUUUCUCAGUGUUUCCAGGGGAGGCCUCAGACACUAUGGAGCAAAGAAAAUCUGACCCAGCUGUGCCCUGUCCAAAUUCCUGACCCAUAGAGAAUACAAGAGAGAAUAAAACGAUGUUGUUUAAACC
rnacentral:lncRNA from 1 species